UACGUAGGGAGCAAGCGUUGUCCGGAAUUAUUGGGCGUAAAGAGCUCGUAGGCGGUUUGUUGCGUCGGCUGUGAAAUCCCGAGGCUCAACCUCGGGUCUGCAGUCGAUACGAGCAAACUAGAGUGUUGCAGGGGAGACUGGAAUUCCUGGUGUAGCGGUGAAAUGCGCAGAUAUCAGGAAGAACACCCGUGGCGAAAGCGGCUCUCUGGAACGGUACUGACGCUGAGACGCGAAAGCGUGGGGAGCGAACAGG
rnacentral:rRNA from 1 species